GACACGAUGAUCUCUGGAGGUCCCUUCCAACCCCUACAGUUCUGUGAUUCUGUGAUGCGUCUCAUCGGGUCCAACGGACUCCUGCAUUUCCAGUUCUGCAGGUGAGCUGGAACCUGGUCUUUGCUCACAGUGUGGGAUGGUGAGGGUGGUGUCCGGGCUGGCCUUGCUUCCUCAAUUCCCACCUACCAAAUCUAAUAUUUGAGGAGCAUGUGCUGAGCAGUUAGAGAAGAUGGAGGCAACAUGUUGAGUACCUCAGCCUUCUCCUUGUCUAUUACCAGCUACAGUGCUGCUGGUAAGCAGCAUCAUGCACUUGCUGAGUUUCCCCAGAGCUGCUGAGCAGGCAGACUUCCCCAGCUGUACCGACUGUGCCCCGAUCACCAAGAGCCUUUGUGUCAUUGUGUCUCACAGCCCCUGGCAUCUCACUACGGAGCCACUCGUGAGAGCAAUGUGCACAGGGUGCAGCCCCCGCACGUGUGGGGCAGCGCCUUCAUUAUUGUGUUGUGUUUAACAGGUGGCAACGGAAGGUCUGCUGUUUCUCCAAACAACAUUGUUAGCUAUCCUGUCUCUGGAAUGCAGGGUAGCAUGCUGGACAAUAAAGCCACAAAUUAACAAAGCAGCAGCAGAUUGGUGGAUGGAAUUCUGGAGUUGUAGCUGAUAAGACGAUUGGCUGGAGUGAGUCAAGCAUCCUUCAGCUUGAUCCCAGUCAAAGAGUGCACAGCGAGAAAGGCAUCUGGCCUUCAUCAGAAGACCACCAGUGGUUCAGGGAAAUAUGGAUUCUUUCUUCUCUGCCUCUGCGUUUCCCACAGUGGUGUUCUGGGAAUGGCUUCUGUCAUUGAUUUUCAAUAUCGAAUACUAGCUGUUAUUAAAGCAGUUCAGCUGUGGUGCCCGUGGUCAGAAUGCCCUGCAGCAGACCCUGGCCUCGGUUGUGAAUGGAAGAACGGACAGCAGAUCUCUCGAUAUCAAAAUUGAUAUUGCAGUGAAUAUUUACAAGCCUCGGGAGACCUGGAUGGGAUCUCAGAGUGGCAAGGCCAGGUACGGAAGUUGUUACUGCUAUGUUUUUAUUCUUGAAGUGGGAUGCCUGUUUUGCACUGCAAUUGUUUUACAACGUUAAUGAUUGUUAAUCAUUCCUAGCCAUUCUUAGCUUCUCUGCACACACCUGUCCAAUUGAUACCAGCUUUUUCAUCACCUCAGAGGCUUGGAAAAAAAAAAAAAGCAUGACGAAAUCAACUUGAUGAUUAUUUAUGUAUUGAUUUACAGAUAUUCUUACGCGCUUAGCAGAGGUUUACUGGGUGUAGGGAAGUUUUCCUUGGUUUUCUUCGUCUUUUUCCAAUUGACGCAAUUUUCUCCUCCCUCAAUCCCCAUCUAACUGCAUUUUUCCUCUGCCCUCACGACAAAGAGAGAAGGAAGCGUGAGAAGCCGCGGCGCGGCUCCGCGUCGAUCCAGUCGUCGUCGUUUCCGCGGUCUCCGGUGCCCCCUCGUGGCCAAUCGGUGGAACUGCGGCAGUGUUUUGGUGCUACAGGUGCAUGCGUUAUGCUGUUGGCGGGACUCGGCGGCAGACAGCGGCAGUUCCGCGCAUGGGCCACGAGGUGGCAGCAGAGACCGCGGAAAGAACUUCCCUGACGGCAUUGACGGGGUCCCGCGGCGCAGUCCCCGGGGGAAGAACACGAAGUUAGAAGCCGGGGGAAAAGACAAAGAAAACAGAGGGAAAUUACUCCAGACCCUGGAAAGCCUUGCUAAGUGCUUAGGAAUAUCUGUUUUUUAAAAAAACAAAACAACAAAGCUUGUUUUUGCCAGUAUCCGUUGCAUUGUUUUUAAAUAUUCACAUACCAAAAUGUAACUGCCCAGCAAAUUUAAUGAUAAUGAAAUAAAGCACUUUAGCAGA